UACAGAGGGUGCGAGCGUUGUCCGGAAUCACUGGGCGUAAAGGGCGCGUAGGUGGCGCUCCAAGUCCGUGGUGAAAGCUCGAUGCUCAACAUCGAGUCGGCCACGGAGACUGGAGGGCUCGAGCACUGUAGGGGCAGAUGGAAUUCCGGGUGUAGCGGUGGAAUGCGUAGAGAUCCGGAGGAACACCAGUGGCGAAGGCGGCUGCCUGGGCCUGGCCUGACGCUGAGGCGCGAAAGCGUGGGGAGCAAUCCGG
rnacentral:rRNA from 1 species